UCCUGGCUCAGACGAACGCUGGCGGCAGGCCUAACACAUGCAAGUCGAAGCCCAGCAAUGGGAGUGGCAGACGGGUGAGUAACACGUGGGAACGUACCCUUCGGUUCGGAAUAACUCAGGGAAACUUGAGCUAAUACCGGAUACGUCCGAGAGGAGAAAGAUUUAUCGCCGAAGGAUCGGCCCGCGUCUGACUAGCUUGUUGGUGAGGUAAUGGCCUACCAAGCCGACGAUCCAUAGCNGGUUUGAGAGGAUGAUCAGCCACACUGGGACCUGAGACACGGCCCAGACUCCUACGGGAGGCAGCAGUGGGGAAUCUUAGACAAUGGGGGAAACCCUGAUCUAGCCAUGCCGCGUGAGCGAUGAAGGCCUUAGGGUUGUAAAGCUCUUUCAGCUGGGAAGAUAAUGACUGUACCAGCAGAAGAAGCCCCGGCUAACUCCGUG
rnacentral:rRNA from 1 species